CCCUUAGAUGUUCUGGGCCGCACGCGCGCUACACUGUUCGACGCAGCGAGUCUUAACCUUGACCGAAAGGUUUGGGUAAUCUUCAGCAAAGUCGAACGUGAUGGGGAUCGAUCAUUGCAAUUAUUGAUCGUGAACGAGGAAUUCCUAGUAAGUGCAAGUCAUCAGCUUGCGCUGAUACGUCCCUGCCCUUUGUACACACCGCCCGUCGCUACUACCGAUUGAAUGGUUUAGUGAGAUCUCUGGAUUGACGCUGGCUAGGGGGCGACCCUUGGCCAGACUGUUGAGAAACUGCUCAAACUUGAUCAUUUAGAGGAAGUAAAAGUCGUAACA
rnacentral:rRNA from 1 species